rnacentral:misc_RNA from 1 species
CGCACAUUGCGCCCCUCGGUAUUCCGUGGGGCAUGCCUGUUCGAGCGUCAUUUACCCCCUCAAGCUCUGCUUGGUGCUGGGCGUCUGUCCCGCCUCCGUGCGUGGACUCGCCCCAAAGGUAUUGGCAGCGGUCGUGCCAGCUUCUCGCGCAGCAGUUCGCGCUCUGGGGAGCUGUGGCGGUCCGCGUCCACCAAGUCUACUUUCAACUUGACCUCGGAUCAGGUAGGGAUACCCGCUGAACUUAA